UGGGCUUGUGCGAAUGGGUACAGAGA
rnacentral:piRNA from 1 species